rnacentral:rRNA from 1 species
CAUGUCUUUUUGAAAAUAAUUUAAAGUCUAAUCUGCUCAAUGAUAUAUUAAAUUGCCGCAGUAUUUUGACUGUGCAAAGGUAGCAUAAUAAUUAGUUUCUUAAUUAGAAACUAGAAUGAAUGAUUGGACAAGAAAAUUUCUGUCUCUUUAUUAAUUUUAUUAAAUUUUAUUUUUAAGUGAAAAAGCUUAAAUUUAUUUAAAAGACGAGAAGACCCUAUAGAGUUUAACACUAAAAUUUAAAAUAUAAUAGUAAAAUUUUUUUUAAGUGUUUAAUUGGGGUGAUUUAAAAAUUAAAAAAAUUUUUUAAAAAUUAAUAAUUAGUGAUUUCUAAAAAUAACUUCUAUAAAUUAUAAGUGUAAUACAAAUUACCUUAGGGAUAACAGCGUAAUUUUUUUUAAAAGUUCUUAUUUGAAAAAAAGUUUGCGACCUCGAUGUUGGAUUAAAGUUAAUAAUUGGUGCAAUAACUAAUUUAUUAGGUCUGUUCGACCUAUAAAACUUUACAUGAUCUGAGUUUAAAUCGGUGUAAACCAGGUUGGAUUCUAUCUUUAAUUUUAUUAAAAUAUUUUAGUACGAAAGGACCAGAUAUUUAUUAAAAUAAUUG